rnacentral:rRNA from 1 species
AGUGAACGCUGGCGGUAGGCCUAACACAUGCAAGUCGAACGGCCGCACAGUAAGAGCUUGCUCUUGCGGGUGGCGAGUGGCGGACGGGUGAGGAAUACAUCGGAAUCUACUUUUUCGUGGGGGAUAACGUAGGGAAACUUACGCUAAUACCGCAUACUACCUACGGGUGAAAGCAAGGGAUCUUCGGACCUUGCGCGUUUGAAUGAGCCGAUGUCGGAUUAGCUAGUUGGGGGGGUAAAGGCCCACCAAGCCGACGAUCCGUAGCUGGUCUGAGAGGAUGAUCAGCCACACUGGAACUGAGACACGGUCCAGACUCCUACGGGAGGCAGCAGUGGGGAAUAUUGGACAAAGGGCGCAAGCCUGAUCCAGCCAUACCGCGUGGGUGAAGAAGGCCUUCGGGUUGUAAAGCCCUUUUGUUGGGAAAGAAAAGCAGCAGGUUAAUACCCCGAUGUUCUGACGGUACCCAAAGAAUAAGCACCGGCUAACUUCGUG